CUGCGCGGGCCCCGCCCCUACGCCGUCCUGCGGGCACGCGCACGUAGGCGCGCAAGGGGCGCGCCUGGAGACGCGCUUGCGCAGCGGGGUUGCACAGAACUGCCUCUGGGUGAAUUCUGAGGCCAGUUAGGCUGUACUGAGGGUUUGGAUUUGCUAAGACUGGUGUCAUACAGGUGACUCCUUUGAACUGCUUUCCCCACUUGAAUUCUGAAUAACUUUCAAGAGCCAGGUGAGAAAAGGGUGGUGUUAUAGAAGAGACCACUGGAUAUAUGCCAGCAGAAUACUUCAGUGCUUUAAGUGGUCCAUUCAAAUUUAAGUGAAAUAAAGCAGUGAGGACAUUCUGACAAGAAGCAAUUUAGGACUCACCUGUCAGAGAACAAUUGUGAAGACAUGAAUUUGAGCAUAUCACAUCCUGAGCAUUAAGAAGACUAUAUCUGCUAAUAUACCCAUCCUUGUUGACUAUUUACAGUUUUACCCAACUCCUGUUCCACCUCGGAUCAUCAGGCAUUGGAUUUUGGAAGUUGGAGACCCCUGCUUUAAGAUGCUUCAUGUAUAAAAGGAGGAAAGCAAUGCUUGCCUUACCCACAUCAGAGGCUUGUUCUGAGAAUCUUAAAUGUGAAGCUUUGGCUUUAUGCUGAGAGUCAGCAUGGAGGGGUCCACCCCAGGGCCGUUAGUUCAUCCUCUGCAUUAUGGUACCCUUCCUGCAUCAAGAUGCCUACUAUUGCUAAUGACAUGUCUCAGCACAUCAUAGGUUGCUGGGCUGUGAAAUUUGGGAGAAAGAAGAUGAAAGUAUAAGAUGAUGGCUUUUUGCAGCAGCGUGGAUGCUGAAAUGUACAGAACACAUUGUUUACAGCAUCUCUGGGCUGUGAAUCAGCUGUGAUUACAGCUGGCUGGGGCAGAGCUGAAAGGGCAGAGGCAUCAAAACCCAGCUCAUUUUUUAAAAAACACAAAUCCUUUUCACUGCCCGUGGACGAAAUGACUGACUGACAUGCUAAACCUAUUAAAUAUGUAUUUUGCAAAUUUCGAAAUGAGCAAAAAUGCUAUGUAAAAAUUUUUACAGAUGCUGAAUGAUUGUAAAUGUGGUUAAAGAUGUGGGACUGGCUCCAACUUUGUUCUUUCGUGGGCUGCUAUUAGCUUACAUUUGAAAUCUCUGUUGGCCACGUAGUCCACAUUGUUCUUCCAAAUGUAAUCAUUUCUCUCUUUUAUCUGAUCUCCUACAGUCUUUCUGUUUUCAUCAAUAUCUGACAGCAAUUCCCAAAGAUCCAAUAGCGUCCACUCUAAUAUCCUUAUGUGUACUCUUUUCUCUCUUUGAAAUCUAAUACCUUAGCAGUGAAAUAAUUUAUUGUGCUUUAUUUAGUCUUUUAUUUUUUGCAUGUGUUUUGAUACUAUCCUUUUGAAAAGAGUUAUUUGGAAAUUUAAACCAACUGUUCACCAAAAGUUAUGAAAGCAUGAUUAAAAAAUUUUCUCUGUUUUUAAA